UAACGUAAUCCGAUAGUUAACUUUCCGAGUUAUCCAUCUAGGUUUUGAUUAUACUUUAAUGAUAUCUUAAAUUACUCGAAUAUUACACGACUAUUAUGAUCCGUAACAGCGUGGGCUUGAAAUAUACGUAUAUAUACAUAUCAUUUUUUAGAAAUAAACACGGAGACGAAAUGAUGUAAAAAUUCGAUUGUGUUGUUUAAACGAUAACCGUGUGGAUUGAAUGUAAAUAGAUUUGUUUAAAAAUAAAUCGCGACGAAAAUCCGAACUCAUUCAUAUUAUAAUGAUGACGAGUUCGAAGGACACAUGUGGUUCACAUAAUAUCGUAUUAUAAACACGCGGCCUACUGUAUACAAAAAAUAAAAAAUAAAUUAUAUUCUAUUGACAUCACGGUAGGUAUAAUCUUAAACACGUAAAAGAUGAAUAGACUGGUAUAGAAUAUUAUAUGUACCUUUGUAUAAACUCUUAAUCUGCGGUUAUAAUAUUCCACGGAGUCGUAUAACGUAUUAGAUUAAUAAUAUUUAUAUCUCGAUUUAUAUGCAGGCAAAUUUAAAUUUUGAACCGAACCCGCCGCGCAAUCUAGUGGCGUGGCGAAGGCUGUUUAUUGAAAUCCGUGCCUCGACAAAAUGAAUCAUAGAACAGCGAGUUAGAUGUAAAAAAUUAUAAAAAAUUAUAACUGAUUUUUCAAUAAGAGUGGUGUUAGUGGUGGUUGCUGUGUGUUUAUAAUAUAAGGACUGUAUUUUGUAAAACAAUUUCCCUAUACGCCACUUAUGCAACCUGUACAUUUUUCUGCGAAUUAUUAUAUGUUUCAUAUUAUUUUUGUUUUAUCGCGGCGAUGAUGGAGUAAAUGUUUAUUUAGACGCGGUCUUUUUUUUUUUUUUUUUUUAAUUAUUUCCAACGACACAAGUUAUGUCUAUAUCGAUGAUUUUGUUUGUUUGUUUUUUU